UCAUUAGUCUCUGAAAUGUAGAUGGUUU
rnacentral:sRNA from 1 species